GGCUAAGUUGGAUUAGUGGUUUGGGCACUGGAUUAAGACUCUGGAGACCAGGGUUUGAAUCCCGGCUUGGCCG